GGAAGAGCAACCAACAAGCCUGGGCAGAGAAAAGAAGCAAUAUUCAGGCUAGAAGGACAGACAACCAGAGCCUGAGAAUAUCACAAAGCCCCGAAGGCAAGGCCGUGACUUGAUUAGGGAACUGAGGCAUGGAGAGAUGACCCAGAAUAAAAGGGGAUGGCAGAGAGAGA